rnacentral:rRNA from 1 species
CCUACGGGAGGCAGCAGUGAGGAAUAUUGGUCAAUGGGCGCGAGUCUGAACCAGCCAAGCCGCGUGAGGGAAGACGGACCUAUGGAUUGUAAACCUCUUUUGUCGGGGAGCAAACGACGCCACGCGUAGCGUUCGGAGAGUACCCGAAGAAAAAGCCUCGGCUAACUCCGUGCCAGCAGCCGCGGUAAUACGGAGGAUGCGAGCGUUACCCGGAUUUAUGGGGUUUAAAGGGUGCGCAGGCGGAAGAUAAAGUCAGCGGGAAAAUUGAGAGGCUCAACCUCGUCGAGCCGUUGAAACGUGUUUUCUAGAGUGAGCGAGAGGUAAGCGGAAUGCGUGGUGUAGCGGUGAAAUGCAUAGAUAUCACGCAGAACUCCGAUUGCGAAGGCAGCAUACCGGCGCUUAACUGACGCUGAGGCACGAAAGUGUGGGGAGCGAACAGGAUUAGAUACCCCGGUAGUC